GCCUCCGCCUGCUGCGCCCGAGCCGGGAGAGCCCGGGCACCGCGGCCACCGACGCAGCACCGUCCCCGUUCCCGAGCCCUGAGGCGCGCGCGGGCUCCUAGGUGACCCGAGAGGGGGCCGCGGGAGGGAGCGCGAGGCGGUGCGGGGCGGGCCGCACGCGUCCCCGGUCGCCCCCGCGCGCGCGUGGCCGGGCCCAGAGAAGCCCGGCGCGGGGAGCGCCGGCCCGGCGCGGGCGAGGGCGAUGCCGCGGUGACGGCCCCGCCAUGGCGAAGCCCCCGGCGGUGGCGGCGGCGGCUGCAGCGGCGGCGUCGGAGGAGCUGAGCCAGGUGCCGGACGAAGAACUGCUGCGCUGGAGCAAGGAGGAGCUGGCGCGGCGGCUGCGGCGCGCCGAGGGCGAGAAGGUGGGCCUCAUGCUGGAGCACGGCGGCCUGAUGCGCGACGUGAACCGGCGGCUGCAGCAGCAUCUGCUGGAGAUCCGCGGCCUCAAGGACGUGAACCAGCGGCUGCAGGACGACAAUCAGGAGCUGCGCGAGCUCUGCUGUUUCCUGGACGACGACCGGCAGAAGGGGCGCAAGCUGGCGCGCGAGUGGCAGCGCUUUGGGCGCCACGCGGCCGGCGCUGUGUGGCACGAGGUGGCCCGCUCGCAGCAGAAGCUGCGGGAGCUCGAGGCGCGCCAGGAGGCCCUGCUUCGCGAGAACCUGGAGCUGAAGGAGCUGGUGCUGUUGCUGGACGAGGAGCGCGCGGCGCUGGCGGCGGCGGGGGGCGCUGGCGGCAGCGGCGGCGGCGCGGGCUCCCGCAGCUCCAUAGACAGCCAGGCUAGCCUGAGCGGGCCGCUGGCGGGCAGCGCGGCGGGCUCGGGGGCCCGCGAUGUUGGCGACGGCAGCAGUACGUCCAGUGCGGGCAGCGGCGGCAGCCCGGACCACCACCACCAUGUCCCACCCGCGCUGCUGCCCCCCGGGCCGCACAAGGGUCCAGACGGCAAGGCCGGAGUCACGCGCCGGUCCCUGGAUGACCUGUCGGCGCCGCCGCACCACCGAAGCAUCCCUAACGGCCUGCAUGAUCCCUCAUCCACCUACAUCAGGCCCCUGGAGACCAAGGUGAAGCUAUUGGAGGGUGACAAGCUCCCCCCACAGCAGGCAGGCCCUGGAGAGUUCCGGACACUACGGAAAGGCUUCUCUCCAUACCACUCGGAAUCCCAGCUCGCGUCCCUGCCGCCCUCCUACCAGGAAGUCCUGCAGAACGGCCCAGCCUGCCCUGUCCCCGAGCUGCCUUCACCCCCUUCCGCCGUCUACAGUUCCGCGGGACAGAAGCCCGAGGCUGUUGUGCACUGCCAUGAAGGUUCUGGAAGUACAUGAGAACCUCGACCGGCAGCUUCAAGACAGCUGUGAAGAGGACCUGAGUGAGAAGGAGAAGGCCAUCGUUCGAGAGAUGUGCAAUGUGGUCUGGAGGAAACUGGGAGACGCAGCCAGCACCAAGCCCUCCAUCCGGCAGCACCUGUCUGGUAACCAGUUCAAGGGGCCUUUGUAGGGCCGUUCCUCCAUGGAUGCGGACUGGCCCUGCUUGGAGUCCUGAGGCCCUAGACGUGGCAGAAACUCUGGCCCAGCACCGUCUUUCUCCGUGGUGAAUUGUACAUAGGACAUGGCCCACCCUGGCUGCCCUGGCGUGACACUGACAGCCAGGCCUCCUCCACCUCCUGCCUCCCUCACCAGCAAUCCUUGGGAAGACGAUCAACAAUGAGCUGUGUGCUGCAGCAGAGUGGCGGGGGGCGGGGGGGGGGGGGCAGCCUGGCCCCCUCUUUGAGCUCCAUGUUCCAUUAUAGCAAGAAGCUUCUGAGACUCCUCCAGGCCCAGGGACUCUCGGGGGCUGUCCUGCGCUUGGUGGAAGUCCCUCAUCAAGCCUUCCACCCUGGCUGUCCCUCACACUGGACAGAAGCCACCAGAGCCUGAACUAUGACACAGGGGGCUCUUCGCUGCUACCCUGCCAUAGCCAGGACCCCGGGUUGUGGAGCACUAGCUCCCACGUGUCCGUGGCUGGCUGGGAGCUCAGGGUUCUCUGCUGCCUGGGGGUCAGUACCUAGCCACCCUGGUGCCCGCUGCUGCUGCUUAGCGUUCACCCCUCUGGCAACGUCUCCCUGCCCAUGCCAGGCUGAGCCGUCUCUUAGGUCUCCCCUGCGAGUUUCCUUUCUGGUUUACAGCAACAUAGGAAGUCCUAGAGAGUGUCUGGGCUGGGCUCGGCGUUCUCUCUGGGCAGGAAGAACUGGGCCAUGGUCCUCGGUCACUGUCGGUGUAGCCUCAACCCAGGUGCAUCCUGGGUCACCAUGGCUGGAGCAGCAGGAGUCGCCCCUGAUGAGUUUUCCUUGAGAAGGAAGGGGCGUGACCUGGUUCUGGCUUUAAUUUGCGGCGUGGCCUUCAGCAAGUCACUCAGCUUCUCUGGGCCCCUAGGAAAAAGCUGGGCUGAGGUUCCUUCUCGCUCUGCUCACUCUAGAAACCACCCCGCUCUGGUGGGCCUCUGUCCUCUCUCGCAGCUGAUGAGCUCAUACGGUGACCUCCUGGGAACGUGUUGGGGGGCAGAACAGUGGCUGGCCUGUUGGCCAUGCUGUCUCCUCACGGGUCACCUCUCUGGGCCUCCUCUCCUCCCUGUAUGUAGGGACCGGGGCGUUCAAAUAAGUGCUUCCGUGUGCACGACCAUGCCCCAAACGGUGAUGCAUGACUGACAGGGCUGUCUUCUAACCUGGCGUGAGGAAAACGAGGAGGUGGGUGCUUGAGUGACAUGUGCAGACGACAUCUCCACCUGGGGGAGGACCAGGCCACGUUGCUGGCAUCACCCGUGUCACGUCUUUACUUCCUCACUCAAUGGUACUCCGAGUCCCAUGCAGCAAGCACUCGAGGCCAAAGAGCUUGUUCUCACCACAGGCAGGCCUCCUUCAGGCCCUGCCCACACCCUGUGGAGCAAAGGGGACAGGCCAAGGCGGCGGGUGGCACCCUUGCUCCCCUCGCAGCCAGGCCCCGUGACCUUGGGCUGAUCCCACCACCCCUGCUGCCCUCACCCUUGGGUCCCACACUCUCAGGGGAAAGGCCCAUGGCUCUUGGUGUGCCCAGGGAGUGCUGUGCAGGGGCUGUGGGGGAACAGGCCUACCACUCUGGCUAUGGGACACCAGGCGAAGCUCUUUCUGGAAGAGCUGAUGUAUGGUCAAGUGAUUAACUUGCUGGUACCCCACCUGCUGGCCCUGGUACUCAGUGACUUCUGCUAAGUGGGCUGCUGGCCAGGAAAGAGCCUUCCUGGUUUUCUGAGGCCAAGGAAUCCCAGAAUAACGCUGAGGUGUAUGGGUCCACACAGGUGGGAGCCUCAUCUGGGAGUCCCAGGCAGUCACAUUUGUAUCAGGAUGGCUUAGCCACCACCACUGACACAAGCAAUAAGUAAGGACUCCUGGGAUCUGAAGACUGGUCAAGAAAGAAAAGCCUAGAAGCCACCUUUCCUUUCUGGAGAGGUGUGACCCCAUCCCUAAUGCUGCAGAGGCAUCAUGGGAAUCCAAAGAACAUUUCUUGGAGAACCCCUCUGUCUUUCCGCAGGGUGGUGAAAGCUAUGCCCCAGCUUUCAGCACUGGCCUGGCUCUCUAGGACUGUCUGUGUCAUAUCUCAAACCUAACAGCCAGGAGGGGCUAGCAGCAAACCGGUGAGCCCUGGGCUGGGGAGGGUAGGUGGUCUUCUGGAACGCCCCCCGUUUCUGGAGCCUUAGCCUUUGCAAUCCCGACUCUCCAUCUCAAGCUCACAAGAUGCUUGCACUGGCUCCACCUCCCACUGUGACGGAGGUCACCCAGCCCCACCCAGGUGGCCUCGCCUACCCUGGAGUCAGAAUCUGCUGAGCACAUUUUCAUUCAUGUUAAACAGCCACAAGCCAGUGUUUAAAGAUAAAGUGACCUUUCAUUUUUCUUUCUUGAAACUUGAGAGGGAGAUACAUACUACUGAUUUUUUUUUUUUUUUUUAAAGAAACAAACUAAAUGCAUGGCUGCAGAGUGGCAGAGGUGUAUAUUUUCAUACUGUGGGGGAGAGUGUGCUGCUUUUGGGAGGGACUGGAACGCCUGGUUCCUGGCCCUGGGCCAGUCUUCUAUAGGAAUUGGUGGUGGUAAGAUCUGCAGCUGCCCCCUCCUGCCUGGCUGUGUACAGAGCUGGAGCCUGUGGACUUUGGCCGUUUCUACCUUCUAUUGAACCACUUUAAUUUGUGGAGAGAAAAAAAUAGAACUUUUGAUAGUGUGGUAAAAGCAUUGAUUUGAACUAUUUUAGUAAAAGGAGUAACAAAUAAGAUGUGACAGUGUCUAUUUGAACUAGAUAAUAAAGGCCUCUUUGUGAGCCUGCGA